GAUGAACGCUGGCGGCGUGCCUAAUACAUGCAAGUCGAGCGAACGGACGAGAAGCUUGCUUCUCUGAUGUUAGCGGCGGACGGGUGAGUAACACGUGGAUCACCUACCUAUAAGACUGGGAUAACUUCGGGAAACCGGAGCUAAUACCGGAUGAUAUUUUGAACCGCAUGGUUCAAAAGUGAAAGACGGUCUUGCUGUCACUUAUAGAUGGAUCCGCGCUGCAUUAGCUAGUUGGUAAGGUAACGGCUUACCAAGGCAACGAUGCAUAGCCGACCUGAAAGCGUAAUAGCCCACACUGGAACUGAAGCACGUUCAUGGCUCCGACGAGAGGCACCAGUAGGCAAUCUUACGGAAUGGUCGAAAGCCUGACGGAGCAACGCGGCGUGAGUGAUGAAGUUAGUCGGAUCGUAAAACUCUGUUAGUAGGUAAGAACAUAUGUGUAAGUAACUGUGCACAGCUGGACGGUACUUAAUCAGAAAGCCACGGAAAACUACGUG
rnacentral:rRNA from 1 species